rnacentral:rRNA from 1 species
AAACCAACAGGGAUUGCCUUAGUAGCGGCGAGUGAAGCGGCAAAAGCUCAAAUUUGAAAUCUGGCACCUUCGGUGUCCGAGUUGUAAUUUGAAGAUUGUAACCUUGGGGUUGGCUCUUGUCUAUGUUUCUUGGAACAGGACGUCACAGAGGGUGAGAAUCCCGUGCGAUGAGAUGCCCAAUCCUAUGUAAGGUGCUUUCGAAGAGUCGAGUUGUUUGGGAAUGCAGCUCUAAGUGGGUGGUAAAUUCCAUCUAAAGCUAAAUAUUGGCGAGAGACCGAUAGCGAACAAGUACUAGUGAUGGAAAGAUGAAAAGAACUUUGAAAAGAGAGUGAAAAAGUACGUGAAAUUGUUGAAAGGGAAGGGUUUGAGAUCAGACUCGAUAUUUUGUGAGCCUUGCCUUCGUGGCGGGGUGACCCGCAGCUUAUCGGGCCAGCAUCGGUUUGGGCGGUAGGAUAAUGGCGUAGGAAUGUGACUUUGCUUCGGUGAAGUGUUAUAGCCUGCGUUGAUGCUGCCUGCCUAGACCGAGGACUGCGA